rnacentral:rRNA from 1 species
CUACGGGAGGCACCAGUGGGGAAUUUUGCACAAUGGGGGAAACCCUGAUGCAGCGACGCCGCGUGCGGGAAGAAGGCCUUAGGGUUGUAAACCGCUUUCAAUUGUGAAGAAGGGAUGAGAGUUAAUAGCUUUCUGACUUGACGGUAGCAUUAGAAGAAGCACCGGCUAAUUUCGUGCCAGCAGCCGCGGUAAUACGAAAGGUGCAAGCGUUGUUCGGAUUUACUGGGCGUAAAGAGAUCGUAGGUGGUUUAUUAAGUCGGAUGUGAAAUCCCGGAGCUCAACUUCGGAACUGCAUUCGAUACUGGUAGGCUAGAGUUCGGGAGGGGAAAGCGGAAUUCCGUGUGUAGCAGUGAAAUGCGUAGAUAUACGGAGGAACACCUGAGGCGAAGGCGGCUUUCUGGACCGAUACUGACACUGAGGAUCGAAAGCGUGGGUAGCAAACAGGAUUAGAUACCCCUGUAGUC